rnacentral:rRNA from 1 species
CUGCAGAGAUGUAGGCCCCCUUGUGGUCGGUGUACAGGUGGUGCAUGGCUGUCGUCAGCUCGUGUCGUGAGAUGUUGGGUUAAGUCCCGCAACGAGCGCAACCCUUAUCUUAUGUUGCCAGCGCGUAAUGGCGGGGACUCGUGAGAGACUGCCGGGGUCAACUCGGAGGAAGGUGGGGACGACGUCAAGUCAUCAUGCCCCUUAUGUCCAGGGCUUCACACAUGCUACAAUGGCCGGUACAGAGGGCUGCGAUAC